AGAGUUUGAUCAUGGCUCAGAACGAACGCUAUCGGUAUGCUUAACACAUGCAAGUCGAACGGACUAAUUAGGGCUUGCUCUAAUUAGUUAGUGGCAGACGGGUGAGUAACACGUGGGGAAUCUGCCCAUCAGUACGGAAUAACUUUUAGAAAUAAAAGCUAAUACCGUAUAUUCUCUACAGAGGAAAGAUAUAUCGCUGAUGGAUGAGCCCCGCGUCAGAUUAGGUAGUUGGGUGAGGUAAUGGGCUCACCAAGCCCAACGAUCUGUAGCUGGGUCUGAGAGGAUGAUCAGCCCACACUGGGGACUGAGACACGGCCCAGACUCCCUACGGGAGGCAGCAGUGGGGGAAUAUUGGACAAUGGGGCGAAAGCCCUGAUCCAGCAAUACCCGAGUGAGUGAUGAAGGCCUUUAGGGUUGUAAAGCUCUUUUAGCAAGGAAGAUAAUGACGUUACUUGCAGAAAAAGCCCCGGCUAACUCCGUGCCAGCAGCCGCGGUAAGACGGAGGGGGCUAGCGUUGUUCGGAAUUACUGGGCGUAAAGAGUGCGUAGGCGGUUUAGUAAGUUGGAAGUGAAAGCCCGGGGCUUAACCUCGGAAUUGCUUUCAAAACUACUAAUCUAGAGUGUAGUAGGGGAUGAUGGAAUUCCUAGUGUAGAGGUGAAAUUCUUAGAUAUUAGGAGGAACACCGGUGGCGAAGGCGAUCAUCUAGGCUAUAACUGACGCUGAUGCACGAAAGCGUGGGGAGCAAACAGGAUUAGAUACCCUAGUAGUCC
rnacentral:rRNA from 1 species